rnacentral:rRNA from 1 species
AACGAACGCUGGCGGCAGGCUUAACACAUGCAAGUCGAACGCCCCGCAAGGGGAGUGGCAGACGGGUGAGUAACGCGUGGGAAUCUACCUAGUUCUACGGAACAACAGUUGGAAACGACUGCUAAUACCGUAUACGCCCUACGGGGGAAAGAUUUAUCGGAAUUAGAUGAGCCCGCGUAAGAUUAGCUAGUUGGUGGGGUAAUGGCCUACCAAGGCGGCGAUCUUUAGCUGGUCUGAGAGGAUGAUCAGCCACACUGGGACUGAGACACGGCCCAGACUCCUACGGGAGGCAGCAGUGGGGAAUAUUGGACAAUGGGCGCAAGCCUGAUCCAGCCAUGCCGCGUGAGUGAUGAAGGCCUUAGGGUUGUAAAGCUCUUUCACCGAUGAAGAUAAUGACGGUAGUCGGAGAAUAAGCCCCGGCUAACUUCGUGCCAGCAGCCGCAGUAAAAC